GCAUGUUUUGUAGCAGGUGGCUGAGAUGACUGGAACUGUGACAGAGCAUACAAAUUAUUACAUGGACAUUUAGACACAAGAAUAAGGCUUUCAUAAUGCACAAGAACUUUCUCUCAUAAGAAAACCACUGGAGCUCCUGAAUUUUGCUGUGCAAAUGGAUAAAUACUGACGGAAUACAUGUGGCUUGCAUCAGAUGUCCCAGCUCCUUCUCCAGCUCCAGGCAGUUUUGUAGGAAAAAGGGCAGGUUGUCUGGACUCCCUGUGGGCUUUGUGAUCAGUGGAUCAGCGUUAGCUGCUUGGUGUCCAUACAGCUCUCAGGAUGGAGAAGAUUUGAUGGCUAGCUUUUUCAGCUAAUGGAUGACACGGAAUAUUGCCUGAAUCCAUGAUAUAUAUCUAUGAACACCAAAUUCCUAGAUUUCAAGACCAUCCCAAUUGCUGGAAGUCAUCUUAAGAGGUAAAUAGAGUUAAGAUUUUAGGAAGAAAGCCCAAGUUUCCACUCUACCAAUAUUAAUUUAAUGUGU
rnacentral:lncRNA from 1 species